CAAUACCACUUUUGUUGAUUUCUCCAUCUGACUCCAUCGAGGAUUCAAACAAGCGCCACCACCCAUUACACUUAAGUACUUUGAAAGGUCAUGGGGAUUCCGUUAAUGGCUUAUGCUUUUCAUCGGAUGGACAUAGUUUGGAAACUGCUUAUGAAGAUGGUGUAAUCAGGGUAUUCAAGUUGGAUGAUGCUUCAAGCAAAAGCUUCAAG